UACGUAUGGGGCGAGCGUUGUUCGGAUUUACUGGGCGUAAAGGGCUUGUAGGUGGUGAGAAAAGUCGGAUGUGAAAUCCCCGGGCUUAACCCGGGAACUGCAUUCGAAACUAUCUCGCUAGAGUACCGGAGAGGGAAACGGAAUUCCUGGUGUAGGGGUGAAAUCUGUAGAUAUCAGGAAGAACACCGGUGGCGAAGGCGGUUUCCUGGCCGGAUACUGACACUGAGGAGCGAAAGCUAGGGGAGCAAACAGG
rnacentral:rRNA from 1 species